AAAGAGAGAGGGAGAGGUUAGGAUGUUAGUGCCCCAAUGUUUGAUUCGGUGACUGGGAGGGUGACAGUGAGAGAGAGAGAGAGAAUGGGUCGUGAUGAUUUCGGGGAGAGAAACAGAGAGGGAAGGGUGGGGAUGGUGAACAGGCCCCGAGCAUGGUCCUCCUGAGUCCAGGAUUCUGAUAAAAAAUCAAUGUUUUAUUAUUUCUUGCAUUUAUAUCUGCUGGCAUGUGGUGAUUGAGAGGCCAAAAUUAUUUUACAAAUCUUUUUGUACUGUUUGGUUAGGUUAGGCAGCAUGGUCUUGUGUGUUUUUUUAAUCGAUUUGGGGAUUUUCUAGCCUUGUAUUUAUUUGUUUGCUCUCUGUUCUUCAAAUUAUCAAACACUCUCCCUUUGUUUCUCAGGAAAAUGCUUCAAUUUUCUGGAGGAUAGUUUGAUAUAGCAGUGGUCAUGGGAGACUUCGUUUCGUUUAUUAGAUUAGCCAAUCUCCCUGAAGAGGUGAAGAAGGAACUUGAAGAUCCUCAUAGUGGGUAAGGCAAUUUAGUCCUGUCCUUAUGUUCUGAUUUCUCUUAAGCCACCAGAAAGCAUCAAUUUGGCCGCUAGCCGCAUGGAUGUAUUCCCUAUCUUCUUCUUACCCGCCAUGUAUUAGGUACAGUUUUGGAUGGAGCAUCAAUGUCAUAUGGCUCAGACCAAUAAUUAUUUGGCCAAACUGUUGUAUUUGUCGGUUUCUUUAUGCUGGGAUAUAUUUAGCAGCAUUAACCUAUUUGAAAACUUAGAUUUGCACAAACACAACAUAAUCUUUGCGAAAGCAUGUAUUUGACUGGCAUAUUAUUUCAUAUAUAUUAACAGAUAAGCAAUGCUCUAGCGGGUGCCGACAUAAAAGACUUGAUGAGGAAGCUAUCAAAAUUUAUUUAUGAUGAAGAGAAAGCUCUUGAGAUGAGGUUUUUUUGUUCCCUGUUUCAUCUUUGUUUUAAGCAAUGAGAAGGGUCAAGUUUAUGAUAGUUUCUAGAUAUGUAGAUUGGGAAAUUAAUCAUUAAACUAAGAUUUUACACGCACUUCCAAGGCCAUUGUGUGUGGGUUGUACUUUAUCUUUAGUCUGCUGUUUGUUCAAUCCCGUAUAUUUGGAGCAGAUAUUUGUAUCCUGAGCCUUACCCAGAGGAGAAUUUGGAGUUAAUUCGUUCUCGGAAUAUUCGGUU